GUAGGUGGCAAGCGUUGUCCGGAAUUAUUGGGCGUAAAGCGCGCGCAGGCGGUUCUUUAAGUCUGAUGUUAAAGCCCACGGGCUCAACCGUGGAGGGUCAUUGGAAACUGGAGAACUUGAGUACAGAAGAGGAAAGCGGAAUUCCACGUGUAGCGGUGAAAUGCGUAGAGAUGUGGAGGAACACCAGUGGCGAAGGCGGCUUUCUGGUCUGUAACUGACGCUGAGGCGCGAAAGCGUGGGGAGCAAACAGGAUUAGAUACCCUGGUAGUCCACGCCGUAAACGAUGAGUGCUAAGUGUUAGGGGGUUUCCGCCCCUUAGUGCUGCAGCUAACGCAUUAAGCACUCCGCCUGGGGAGUACGGCCGCAAAGGCUG
rnacentral:rRNA from 1 species